GUUUGAUCCUGGCUCGGGACGAACGCUGGCGGCGUGCUUAACACAUGCAAGUCGAACGAUCCUUCGGGAUAGUGGCGGACGGGUGAGUAACGCGUGGGAAUCUGCCCUUAGGAGGGGGAUAACGGCUGGAAACGGCCGCUAAUACCCCAUAUGCCGAGAGGUGAAACGAAUUUCGCCUGAGGAUGAGCCCGCGUCUGAUUAGCUAGUUGGUGGGGUAAAGGCCUACCAAGGCGACGAUCAGUAGCUGGUCUGAGAGGAUGAUCAGCCACACUGGGACUGAGACACGGCCCAGACUCCUACGGGAGGCAGCAGUGGGGAAUUUUCCGCAAUGGGCGAAAGCCUGACGGAGCAACGCCGCGUGAGGGAUGAAGGCCUCUGGGCUGUAAACCUCUUUUCUCAAGGAAGAAGAACUGACGGUACUUGAGGAAUAAGCCACGGCUAAUUCCGUGCCAGCAGCCGCGGUAAUACGGGAGUGGCAAGCGUUAUCCGGAAUUAUUGGGCGUAAAGCGUCCGCAGGCGGCCUUGUAAGUCUGUUGUUAAAGCGUGGAGCUCAACUCCAUUUAAGCAAUGGAAACUACAAGGCUGGAGUGUGGUAGGGGCAGAGGGAAUUCCCGGUGUAGCGGUGAAAUGCGUAGAUAUCGGGAAGAACACCAGUGGCGAAGGCGCUCUGCUGGGCCAUAACUGACGCUCAUGGACGAAAGCCAGGGGAGCGAAAGGGAUUAGAUACCCCUGUAGUCCUGGCCGUAAACGAUGAACACUAGGUGUCGGGGGAAUCGACCCCCUCGGUGUCGUAGCCAACGCGUUAAGUGUUCCGCCUGGGGAGUACGCACGCAAGUGUGAAACUCAAAGGAAUUGACGGGGGCCCGCACAAGCGGUGGAGUAUGUGGUUUAAUUCGAUGCAACGCGAAGAACCUUACCAGGGUUUGACAUCCUGCGAAUCCCUUGGAAACGAGGGAGUGCCUUCGGGAGCGCAGUGACAGGUGGUGCAUGGCUGUCGUCAGCUCGUGUCGUGAGAUGUUGGGUUAAGUCCCGCAACGAGCGCAACCCACGUCUUUAGUUGCCAGCAUUCAGUUGGGCACUCUAGAGAGACCGCCGGUGAUAAACCGGAGGAAGGUGUGGAUGACGUCAAGUCAUCAUGCCCCUUACAUCCUGGGCUACACACGUACUACAAUGCUACGGACAAAGGGCAGCAAGCUCGCGAGAGUUAGCAAAUCCCAUAAACCGUGGCUCAGUUCAGAUCGUAGGCUGCAACUCGCCUACGUGAAGGAGGAAUCGCUAGUAAUCGCAGGUCAGCAUACUGCGGUGAAUACGUUCCCGGGCCUUGUACACACCGCCCGUCACACCAUGGAAGUUGGCCAUGCCCGAAGUCGUUACUCCAACCCU
rnacentral:rRNA from 1 species